GAUGAACGCUGGCGGCGUGCUUAACACAUGCAAGUCGAACGGAAAGGCCGAAGCUUGCUUCGGUACUCGAGUGGCGAACGGGUGAGUAACACGUGGGUGAUCUGCCCUGUACUUCGGGAUAAGCUUGGGAAACUGGGUCUAAUACCGGAUAUGACGAUCUCUUGGAUGGGGUUGUGGAAAGCUUUUGCGGUAUGGGAUGAGCUCGCGGCCUAUCAGCUUGUUGGUGGGGUAAUGGCCUACCAAGGCGUCGACGGGUAGCCGGCCUGAGAGGGUGUACGGCCACAUUGGGACUGAGAUACGGCCCAGACUCCUACGGGAGGCAGCAGGGGGGAAUAUUGCACAAUGGGCGAAAGCCUGAGGCAGCGACGCCGCGUGGGGGAUGACGGCCUUCGGGUUGUAAACUCCUUUCGCAAUCGACGAAGCCUUGUGGUGACGGUAGGUUGAGAAGAAGCACCGGCUAACUACGUG
rnacentral:rRNA from 1 species